CGCUCCCGCCCCAUUGGCCGGGGACAGGCCCGGGACAGCCCCUAGAGGCGGGGCCGGCGGCCGGUGGCGCCAACGGUUCAAGAUGGCUGCCGAGAAGCUGAGGAGCAAAGUGGGCUCUGCCUUCAAGAUGCACGGGUUGCUGCUCCGAGCUGAAGCUAAUAAAUAUCUUACUGAAGCUCUUCAGUCUGUCAAUGAAUUAGAGCUUGAAGAUGUAAUAGAAAACAUCAUUGAUGCUGUUGAAAAACAGCCUUUGUCAUCUAAUAUGAUUGAACGGGCCACAGUGGAAGCUGCAGUCCAGGAAUGUAGCCAGUCAUUAGAUGAAACUAUAGAACACAUUUUCAAUAUUAUCGGGGCCUUUGAUGUUCCACGUUAUGUUUAUAGUUCAGAAAGGAAGAAGUUUCUACCUCUAUCAAUGACCAACCAUCCUGCACCAAAUUUAUUUGGAACUGCCAGGGAUAAAGCAGAGUUGUUUCGUGAACGCUACACCAUCUUGCAGCAGAGGACUCAUAGGCAUGAGUUGUUUACGCCUUCAGCGAUUGGUGCUCAUCCUGAUGACAGCAGGAGUAAAUUCCAGCUUAAAACAAUAGAAACACUGUUGGGCAAUACAGCUAAAGUUGGGGAAGUGAUUGUUCUUGGGAUGAUAACACAGCUAAAAGAGGGGAAAUUUUUCUUGGAAGAUCCUACAGGAGUUGUUCAGCUAAACCUUAGUAAAGCACAGUUCCACAGUGGCCUGUAUACUGAAUCAUGCUUUGUUUUGGCAGAAGGCUGGUAUGAGGAUCAAGUAUUCCACGUGAAUGCUUUUGGAUUUCCGCCCACUGAGCCUUCUGCUACCACUAGGGCAUAUUAUGGGAACAUAAAUUUUUUUGGAGGGCCUUCUUCAACUUCAGUAAAAGCUUCUCCAAAACUGAAACAACUGGAGGAUGAAAAUGAAGAUGCCAUGUUUGUUUUUGUUUCUGAUGUUUGGCUGGACCAAGUGGAAGUGUUAGAAAAGCUUCGCACUAUGUUUUCAGGUUACUCCUCUGUGCCUCCAACUUGCUUUUUCUUUUGUGGAAAUUUUUCAUCUGCACCAUAUGGAAAAAAUCAAAUUCAAUCCCUAAAAGAUUCCCUCAAGGCUCUUGCUGACAUAAUAUGUGAAUACCCCAGCAUUCAUAAAAGCAGUCGAUUUGUGUUUGUUCCUGGCCCUGAAGAUCCUGGUCCUGGUUCAAUUUUGCCAAGGCCACCACUAGCCGAAAACAUCACUAGUGAAUUCAGACAGCAGGUGCCAUUUUCAGUUUUCACUACAAAUCCUUGCAGGGUUCAGUACUGCACACAAGAAAUUAUCAUCUUUCGUGAAGAUUUAGUAAAUAAAAUGUGCAGAAACUGCGUCCGCUUUCCUACCACCAACUUGGAUAUUCCUAACCACUUUGUAAAGACUAUCUUAUCACAAGGACAUCUGACUCCACUUCCACUUUAUGUCAGCCCUGUAUUUUGGGCAUAUGAUUACUCCUUGAGAGUGUACCCUGUGCCAGAUCUGAUCGUCACUGCAGAUAAAUAUGAUCCUUUCACUGUUACUAAUACUGACUGCGUUUGCAUAAAUCCUGGUUCUUUUCCAAGAAGUGGAUUUUCUUUCAAGGUGUUCUAUCCCUCCAACAAAACAGUAGAAGACAGGUAAAUAGCUUCAGAACCUGAUGUUAUUAACAAAUGAUUAACAUAACCACUUUCUGCUGGCUUUCUUCUCAGAAUGAACAGGAAUAUUUAAUGAUAUAGACAAAAGAACAUCAUCUCUGGUUACCCCAAACAUAGCAUACUUGUACCCAUACAUAGCGUACUUAAGGACAAUGAAGCAAAGUUCAGAUUUUGCCUUCAGAAACAAACAUGCAGCUCCCAUUGAAGCUAAUGGGAGUGAAGUACACAAACCUCAGGGCAGGAACUGGCCAUUUUCCACUACCAUGAAUUUGUAUUUGCUUAUUUAUUUAUUAAAUGCAACAAUAUCUUAACAGUAUCUGGGUGCAAAUGUUCCAAUAACUAAUACGUAAUUUUUGACUUAUACUUUAUUAUUACUUUAUACAUAAAUGUGUGUGUAGUCAGGGUCCUGAAUCCCUACAAUAAAAAUAAUAAAUUUACAAAUUAUAGUAAAAAUUUAGGUGAUAAAAUAAUAAAAUCAGUAAGUAGAGAAAAAAAAAAGAGAGAGAGUACCUUAUGCUUUUCAGUACCUCAAGCCCAACUGCAAUGCUGAAAGAAAGUAAUUAACUUAUGGAGGUUAGGGUUGCCAACUUUUCUAAUUUCUGAAAACCGGACACUACAGCAGGAGUGCCGGAACCUCCCCCAGUCCUGCCUCUUCCCCCAUACCCUACCCCCCCAGCUGGGCUCCCUCUGCUCCUGCACUGGGAAGAGAACUGCAGCCCCUGACGGGGAGGCUGCCUGCCCAGGAGAUGCAGGUAGGAGUUGGCCCAGUUGAGCAGUGGCUGGCACAGGUUGAUGAGCUGGUGCUCCUUCCCACCUACACCCCUCCCCAGUAAUUGGACUUUUGGUGUCCAGUCAGUACAUCUGACAAGACACUGUACACGUCCCCUUUCAACUGGACUUUCUGGUCAAAAAACGGAUAUCUGGCACCCUCAGUGGAGGUGGUGCUGUAUUGUGCCUAGAUCUUGGAAAACAUUUGCCUCUUCCUCCAUGCAGUGUCCUGUUUUGCUGUAACAAUGUGUUUCUAAUAUAGUUUUGUUGUUGUUGUAACUGGAGCUAAUUAAAUCCCAGUGCAAUUUUCUCUGACAUGCUUGGGAUCAUGAUCUAGUCAACAAGUGGUUGUGGGUUAGUUUUAGAUUUCAGUAUUUUACACCUGUAAACUUCAUCUGGUCUGGACAGCGAUUGGAAAAAAGGCCAGUCAAAAUGUACUGGAAAUAGAAAGCUUCGUGUAGUAGGUUUACUGUUGUGAUGAGAUCUGCUUCAGUUUGAAUCCAUUACAAUAGAAGCUUAUGAGAAAUGUGAAAAGUAUUUCUUGUAUUAAAUAGAACUCUGUGAUUCAGUUAAUAAGUCUGUCUAGAUUUUUUUUUUAAAAUGGCUGAUAUAAAAUAAGGGAGUCUAUAAUAGAAGUGUUCACACAACUUUGAUCAGAAGAUAGAAAAUACCGCACUAAAAGGCAGUAAAUCUGUUCAAAUAUUUGAGACUUUAGUAAACCGUUCAAGUAUGAAAGAGCAUAAUGGUAAGUGAAUUGGUUUCAAGAAACAAUGAUGUAUGUUAUACAAAUUAAAUACUGUUUUUA